rnacentral:lncRNA from 1 species
CAGUGCAUUUUUUUUCUAUAGAUGUAAAUAUUAGAACAAUAUAAACAAUAUAAAUAACAAAUACAAAAAUAAAUACUUGAUUUUCAAACUCUGCCAGCCUUACUGUUACAAGUAACAACUAUGAUUUUUUUAUAUCUAAUAUGUACAUACAUGUAUGUGUUAAACCUGAAAACAGCUGACGAAAAUGCAAUACAAUAUUACUUUUUUUUUUUUACAUUAGACAACAAAUUAUUUCCUACUACAUGUAGACUACAAAAAAGCUAGUUGAAGCUUUAUCUUCUACAUGUAUCUGUAUAAUUUCAUUUUUAGCCAAACAAAAAUAAAUAUGUAUGUUGAAAUGUAUUAGCACUAUUCAUUACAUGGUAAUUUAGUGAAAUAAACUGUCUUGGUGGUGAAUAUUUACAGUAAAUGCUAUUGUUUGUUGGUGAUCACUUUUAAUUAAAUCCUUUCGAAAAAUUCUAUGGAUAAUAUGAGUAAUUUAAAGCUUUUUCCCCCCUCCAACCCCAGCCACAGGCAUUUUUUUCUAUCCACGGGAAGGUUGACUUUCCAUAUAAAUAAAAGUUCAUGGAUAGUCGAUCUUCCCAUAAAUAGAAACAAGUGCCUGUGAUCCUGGCCCCUUUUUUCAGAGUGAAUUAGCGACAACAGGAAGAUGGGAGUUUUACAGAAUAACUUUUGUGUGAUUUGAACUUCUUUUGUCUUUUGAGGCAGACAUUAGAUUGUGACACUUGAAUGCAUUUCUGCUCUGAUGGUUUCAAAUACUAAGUCCUAUGAUAAAUCCAAACCAAAUGCUAUUUUCGUCUUAGAUGAAAAUAUAUCACUUCAAUAUAUUGUAUUAUGUCACUUGAAUCUUCUCUUUCCCAAUGGAUAUUAAAAUUAAUUCUCUCAUGUUUUUUUCCCCACAUUUUAACCACCAAUAUUUUAAAAUUUCUUUAUGGAUGUUCACAAAUUCCAAAUUUUUCAGCUUGUUUUGGCGUUAACACUUCAGAAGCAUGUUCUGCCUGCCAUUCUGAAAGUCUGUUACCAAAUUCUUCUCGAUGUUUCUUCAUUUUGGCCUCUGACUUUCCUAUUUCCACAUUCAUUCU